rnacentral:rRNA from 1 species
GAUGAACGCUGGCGGCGUGCCUAAUACAUGCAAGUCGAGCGAACGGACGAGAAGCUUGCUUUUCUGAUGUUAGCGGCGGACGGGUGAGUAACACGUGGAUAACCUACCUAUAAGACUGGGAUAACUUCGGGAAACCGGAGCUAAUACCGGAUAAUAUUUUGAACCGCAUGGUUCAAAAGUGAAAGACGGUCUUGCUGUCACUUAUAGAUGGAUCCGCGCUGCAUUAGCUAGUUGGUAAGGUAACGGCUUACCAAGGCAACGAUGCAUAACCGACGUGAGAGGGGGAUCGGCCACACGGGAACGGAGACACGGUCCAGACUCCUAAGGGAGGCAGCAGUAGGGAAUGGGACGCAAUGGGCGAAAGCCUGACGGAGCAACGCCGAGUGAGUGAUGAAGGUCUUCGGAUCGUAAAACUCUGUUAUUAGGGAAGAACAGAUGUGGAAGGAAAUGUGCACAUCGUGACGGUACCUAAUAAGAAAGCCACGGCUAACUACGUG